GGUUCCUUGAGUAAGUAUACUAUGUCAUUUACAUUAAAUUUACACGGUUUCAAUGUCUGGUUGUAGUAAGCUUUACUUCUGUGUUUGGCCUUUACUAGGUUCUGUGCCGCCGUUGUCUGAGUGGUGGUGAUCUUUGUAAAGAGCUCAUCGAGAUGCUGUGCAAACGUUCGAGGCGUUUGCCCUUUCGAGAAUUACGAGGGUAUGUUAGCCUUUACACCAAAAAUUAACUCAUGGGGAGUAAAACCUGUGGCCUCGUGUACUGAGAUAUUAUAGGAAAAAAUGCAAAACCUUAUCCAAUCAUCCCAAUCUGUUUUUGUGCAAUAAUGCUUAAGAAAUUUUUCAUGGUUUGGCUGAUGAAAUUUCUUCCUUGGUCAGUAUGAAUAACUCUUGGACAGCCAAAUCUACUGAUGAACUGGUCAACAAGGGUAUAUGCAACAGUUGCUGUGUCUAUACUACGUAAUGUAAUUGCAUCUGAAUAUUUAGUGAGAUUAUCCUGUAGGGUGGGACAGGAUCGAACAAAUUCAAUGAUUUCUUUUGCCAUGCCUGGCCAAUAGAAAUGUUCUUGGAUAAGCUGACGAAAUUUAAAGGAGCCUCGGUAGCCUCCAAUUACCCAUUCAUGAUGUUCUUUAAUGAUUUGGGAGCGUCUCGUUUCGAGCGGAAUUAUAAUCUCUUUUCUGCACACUGUAAUUACAUAUAUUGGAUCAUUAAAAAUCUCCCUAAGCAG